UUCCCCAGCGGCCAACCGGAGGCCACGCGUUUGUCACGCGCACGGCUGAGUGAGCCAAUCGGAGAAGGGCAGCAGAGGGUCGCUGGCGCGAAGCGCGGCGGCGGCGGUGUUCGCGACGGCAGCUGCUUACGCUGCGCGCGGGCGGCGGCUGCUCCUUAGCGCUGGUGGCGCGGCACGCGCAGCUCAGCGCGCGAGGCGGGUUUGCCGGUGUCGCGGCUGCUGCAGGUGUAGCAGCCCUAUGGGGCUCCAGCCUCCCGCUGCUGCCUGCGCCUGAGCCGGGCUCUGCGGGCCGCCCUAGCAGCCAGGGGCUGGCUUGCGAAGGCGUGGGACGAUAGCCAGCCAGAGGCAGUGCCCGCCCCGCCGCAGUGCAGCGCUUCUCCGAAGAAGUGAGCUGUCGCUCAGGAAAGCUCAUGCUCAAAUAAAUGUGUUAGUCUCUAAGGUGCCCCAAGUCCUCCUGUUUUGUUUGCGGAGACAGACUAACACGGCGGCGACUCUGGAAUCUGUGCUCCCUGUUACCUAACAAGCGGCUGCCAGCAACAAUCCUGGCCUGGCUCUUGUAGGCUUGUGCCUGAGCGGCCGCCUGUACUGCAGUGGGCCUACUCAGCUGUUGUCACACUUCAAGCCAGAAGAGCACAAGAUAGUUGUUUUUAUGAACGCAUUAGGGCAUGAUUCUACUUUGUUUUAUACUACUAAAGGCUACAAUGAGUUCUAGGUGACUGGCUGAAGACCUGAAGCAAAAGAUUUGAUUGUAGUCACUCUGGAAGAGUGCCCUAUGGCAGAAACAGCCAGAGACUGCAAACUGAAACAACAGUCAAGAUAAAUAUGGAGGAACAAGAAAAGAGAUGGAGUGUGGCAAUGACGAAAAAAAGAAGAGGGUAAAAAUCUAUGGAAACUUGCAGCCUAACUACCAACACUAGAUAUUCUGCCCUUUGCAGAGGGCAGAUGAAGAGCAUGAACAGACAAAGAACAAGCUAAGGACAGACUGCAACCCAACCCAUGACUAAGAGUGAAAGGUAUUUCCCAAUAACUGCAAUAGCAAAGGAAGAUUAGAUAUGCUUUAAAUCAUGAUGUGAGGACUUCAGUAACUCAGCCAGAGGUUAGGGGUCUAUUACAGGAGUGAUGGGGGUGAGGUUGUGUGGCCUGCAAUGUGCAGGAGGUCAGACUAGAUCAGUGAUACUCAGCCUGAGGCUUAUGAGUUGCAAGUGGCUCUUCAAUGUGUCUCCUGUGGCUCUUUGCAGUACAUGAUAUUAAAACACUGUGAUCUAAUUAUUACCCACUCUAAGCUAUUAACCAAUCAGGAUGCUUUCACUAUGUUAUUAGCCAAUCGUAGUUGAUAAAUAAUAAUACUUGGUCAAUCAUUUUGCUGUGAGUAUGUAUAUAUAUAUAGUUUGUGUUUAUAUAUAUAUUUAUAUUUUUAUAUAUAAACACAAACUAAAUAUUUCCCCGUCAUACUGUUUAAAUAUGACUAUAUAACACUAUAGUAAAUGUAACAAUAAACUCACACUACUGUGGCUCUUUUGGAUAAUGUUGAUCACUAAUUUGCCUCCUGAACCACUGAGGUCUGAAUAUCACUGAACUAGAUGAUCAUGAUGAUCCCUUCUGGGCUUAACGUCUAUGAAUCAGUGCAAGGACUUAGAAAGAAGUGCACGUGGGAGUGAUUCAUGUAUAUGAUCCUCUCGGUCCAGGUGGCUGUCCCCACCGGUUCCUACCUGUCUUUGGGCAGCUUGUCUCCUGCAGGUGCUAUGCUACUAAGGGCUCUCCCAUCUGCCAGCUGUGCCCAUAUCCCAUGCAAGUGGGUUUCCAAGUGUGGAAGAAGCAGCAGUAUAAACCUCUGCUGGCUCUUAUCUGCAGUGCUUUGUCCCACAGUUUUGUAAGGAGAAUAUGGCAGAAUGUGAAUGGCUCCUGCCCUCUCCAAACUGGUGGACCUAAAACCAUACAGAACCUCAGCAAAAAGAAUUCCAUGUAGUCAGAAGAAGGGGUAGCAUACUGUGGAGACCACACUCUCCCCUUUUGCUAUCCUGCUCCUGUCCCCGCUUCAAUUCAUGGGCUCAGGCUAUUUUCCCCAUGCAAAACAGGAGGGGAACGAUGGGGCUUGAAUUUUAACAAAAGGUAUUUUACCUGGGGAAAAGCACCUGAAGGAUGAUUGUUGAGGGCACUGUGACAUCAGAGGUUAAAAAAAAUACGUCAAGCUACUGAUGUUAGUUCAUUUACUACUUAAGGAAGACUAUAGCACAAACCUGUAUUGACAGGGAGGUGAACUAUAUGACCUAACAUCACACAGUCUACUUCUCAUUUCUCAUCACUAAAUUCUGUACAUAGUGCACUCAUAAUGAUUACAAUUUUGUGAAAGUGGAUAUUAAAAGUGAUGUUUGCAUUAAUGAAAAUAUAGCCUUCUAGGAGAGGGACAGACAUUUUCCACUUGUGUGUGUUUCUGUAUUCAUUAAAUUUGGAGAGGCAGGUGGACAGGCAGUACUUUGGCUAACCCUUCUGGUUUUUGUUAAUGACAGAUUCUGCAGAACAG